CAGGUGCUUUCCAGUUGUGUGUGCGUCUUAUUGUGUUUGUGAGUUCUUCUGUAGUAAUGACGGUAUAGGGCAUUUCUGGUAUGUUUAAUUUAUUAUUAUACUUCUCCUCAAUAUUUGAAGUAGUUGCAACUGUAGCUGAAGUUUCUACUGCUUCUGUGACUAACUAUUGAGAGAGAGGUAUUCUGUCUUUUUUUAUUGACAAAAGAGAGUAACUUUAUAUGAGGCGUUGCGGAUACAAAGGGCGAACUCAACAUUGGAGCAAAAAAAUUUUUUUCCUUCAUUCUGCUCCCAUGACGCCACAGAAUACGCUGGUAAAUUUUUUUAUUAAGUUUAGCUUUCCUAACCAUACAAAAGCAGGGUUUAAAAAACAGCAGCCAUUGACUAAGUGCAAUACAGUUGCGGAUACAAAAGGCGAACUCAACAUCCCGCAGCACGUGAUCCACCAUUUUAUAGAUAUAUAAUUAUAUUGUUUCUACAAUACUAUUAAAAAAAA
rnacentral:lncRNA from 1 species